AACGAACGCUGGCGGCAGGCUUAACACAUGCAAGUCGAACGCCCCGCAAGGGGAGUGGCAGACGGGUGAGUACCGCGUGGGAACAUACCCUUUCCUGCGGAAUAGCUCCGGGAAACUGGAAUUAAUACCGCAUACGCCCUACGGGGGAAAGAUUUAUCGGGGAAGGAUUGGCCCGCGUUGGAUUAGCGAGUUGGUGGGGUAAAGGCCUCCCAAGGCGACGAUCCAUAGCUGGUAUGAGAGGAUGAUCAGCCACAUUGGGGCUGAGACACCGCCCAAACUCCUACGGGAGGCAGCAGUGGGGGAUAUUGGACAAUGGGGGCAAGCCUGAUCCAGCCAGGCCGGGUGAGUGAUGAAGGCCGUAGGGUUGUAAAGCUCUUUCACCGAUGAAGAUAAUGACGGUAGUCGGAGAAGAAGCCCCGGCUAACUUCGUG
rnacentral:rRNA from 1 species